rnacentral:lncRNA from 1 species
CUGGAAACAUCGCAAAUUAUAUAAGGCACAUAAUUAAAGAGAUAACAUAUUUACAUUCUCGGGCUCUAGUUAUAGUUCAGUAGCAGCACAAAUAAUUUUGUAUCUGAAUCCGAAAGAUCUUAGAGAAAAAGAUGGUCAACAUGAAACUCGACUAGGCCUGGGAGAAAAAACACUGACAGCUAAUCUUGAUUUGCAAACCGUGACUGAGCUCGUCCUUAUAAACGACACAACUGAUACAGCCACUGAUUUCACUCUAACAGCAGCCCUGUUAAGUUUCCGCGACUUGAGCAUUUUUCUUGAAGACAUUUCACCUGAUCCUAAAUUGUAACUCUGAAGGUAAAUCAGCCUUUUCUUCGCUCUGUCACGCUUAUAACUCAAACCCUUGGUUUCAUUAUCCACACUUGUCACCUUUCGCCGCGAAGUGGUUAAAUUCUGGCGGUAAUCAUCUUCUGCAAAACUCUGAUCAAGAGGCUCGUAUGAGGCCUGCAGGUCAGCCCUUCUGCGGCUGAAGCGCAAUGUGGUGUUUUUUACAAGGGAAUUCAUGGUUGGUUUGGUGAAGUGAAGAUGUUGAGUAUUGAUUUUAUAGGCUAAGUGUGGAGUAUGUGGUUUUCUUUGUGAUAUUUAAAUGGCCGUAUGCUUUUUAUGUAUGUAUGAACCGUGAGUAGGAUUCAACUAAAAAAUAUUUAGUGUGAUUGAACACGUUUUGACUGUUAUCUUGAUUUUUUCCGUUGUUGGUAGGCGCAAAAAUCUUCAGAAAAAUCCAAGUCAACUACUUCAACAACCUGGAGUUUUCUGCCUAGCUACCCCAUGGCCGCCUUCACAACAAAUUUUAGUAAUACUGGUACCACACACUCGAUUUUAG